rnacentral:rRNA from 1 species
GACAGAGGAUGCAAGUGUUAUCCGGAAUCACUGGGCGUAAAGCGUCUGUAGGUGGUCAAAUAAGUCAACUGUUAAAUCUUGAGGCUCAACCUCAAAAUCGCAGUCGAAACUAUUCGACUAGAGUAUAGUAGGGGCAGAGGGAAUUUCCGGUGGAGCGGUGAAAUGCGUAGAGAUCGGAAAGAACACCAACGGCGAAAGCACUCUGCUGGGCCGACACUGACACUGAGAGACGAAAGCUAGGGGAGCGAAUGGG